GUGUUUCGCUGUGCAGGGAUGGCAACCCUAAGUUCCAUAACCCCUCUUCCUUCUAGUCUCUAGCCUCCACAACGCGAAGCAGCAGUCCAGCCACCGCCGCCGUCCCAACUUCGAGCUUCGAAGGCAACGGCGCAACGUCUGUCCAGCCACCACCGUUUGAGCUUCGAAAAUCGAAUCAACUAUCGCCGGUCUCGCCUCUUGCCUCCGUCGCGCAGUCACUUCCUGCCGGUGGCAACUCUGUUCCACACCACCACGUCGGCCACUAUCUUCCCAGCCACUGUCCCCAACCACUUCCAUACCCUCGCCAGCUCUGCCCUGUUCCAGCCUUCCAGGAUCCAGCUUCUAGCUUAGCUGUCAUUGGAGCCAUUCACACACCACUUUGGCCAAGCUCUCUACUAAAAGGCAAGAAGUUCUUUCUCCAGCAGGCAACAUUGUUGAACAGACUAUUGUUCAAAUCAGAGUGGUGUUGGGCUGUUGGCAUUUGUUAGGGAGAAUAGAGCAUUGCAAGGUUACUCAUCUGCACUGAGGAUUACUCAGCAGCGGCUCUGAAAAGAGCAUGAUUGUGUCCCUCAUAGAGAGAUUCUAUCAGGUAAACUUAAAAGUUACAAUUUCUCAAUUUGAGUGAUGGCUAAGUAAAGUUGCAUUCUUGUUUAGUAUGUAGUUUAUUUGCUUGUUAAAAAAUUUGGAACUGAAGUUAUGCAUAUUAAUCAAAAGCCAUAUGAUAUGGUAUAGUAUGUUAUGUGCAGUAAUUAAUUGAAGAAAUUGUAUGUAAGACAAGUUUUGCUAGAUGGGAAUGAUGUUAAGAGUUUGAAGCUAAAAUGGUUGAGGCAGCAAAUAGGACUAGUGAGUCAAGAACUGGCUUU